UACGUAGGGGGCAAGCGUUGUCCGGAAUCAUUGGGCGUAAAGCACGUGUAGGCGGUCCGGUAAGUCCGCUGUGAAAGUCGGGGGCUCAACCCUCGGAUGCCGGUGGAUACUGUCGGGCUUGAGUACGGAAGAGGCGAGUGGAAUUCCUGGUGUAGCGGUGAAAUGCGCAGAUAUCAGGAGGAACACCAAUUGCGAAGGCAGCUCGCUGGGACGUUACUGACGCUGAGACGCGAAAGCGUGGGGAGCAAACAGG
rnacentral:rRNA from 1 species